rnacentral:pre_miRNA from 1 species
GCGGCCAUCGCCAUCUUACUGGGCAGCAUUGGAUGUGUCAGGUCUCUAAUACUGCCUGGUAAUGAUGACGGCGGGGCCCU